AACGAGGCCGACCUGCGGCUGAGUUACCUGCGGAAGGAUCAUUACAGAGUGUAAAAACUCCCAAAACCCAUGUGAACAUACCUUUUUGUUGCUUCGGCGGGAUCGCCCCGGGCGCCUUGUGUGCCCCGGAGUCAGGCGCCCGCCGGGGGACCCAAACUCUUGUUUUUAACGAGUAUCUUCUGAGUAACGUUUUUAAAUAAAUAAAAACUUUUAACAACGGAUCUCAGAUCGGAAGAGCAC
rnacentral:misc_RNA from 1 species